rnacentral:rRNA from 1 species
AUUGAACGCUGGCGGCAUGCUUUACACAUGCAAGUCGAACGGUAACAGGGUGCUUGCACCGCUGACGAGUGGCGAACGGGUGAGUAAUGCGUCGGAACGUGCCGAGUAGUGGGGGAUAACGCAGCGAAAGUUGUGCUAAUACCGCAUACGUACUGAGGUAGAAAGUGGGGGACCUUCGGGCCUCACGCUAUUCGAGCGGCCGACGUCUGAUUAGCUAGUAGGUGGGGUAAAGGCUCACCUAGGCGACGAUCAGUAGCGGGUCUGAGAGGGUGAUCCGCCACACUGGGACUGAGACACGGGCCAGACUCCUACGGGAGGCAGCAGUGGGGAAUUUUGGACAAUGGGCGAAAGCCUGAUCCAGCCAUGCCGCGUGUCUGAAGAAGGCCUUCGGGUUGUAAAGGACUUUUGUCAGGGAGGAAAUCCCUAGUGCUAAUAACACUGGGGGAUGACAGUAUCUGAAGAAUAAGCACCGGCUAACUACGUGCCAGCAGCCGCAGUAA